GUACACUCCUGCGGGAGGCAGCAGUGAGGAAUAUUGGACAAUGGGUGGAAGCCUGAUCCAGCCAUCCCGCGUGCAGGAAGACGGCCCUAUGGGUUGUAAACUGCUUUUAUCUGGGGAUAAACCUACUUACGUGUAAGUAGCUGAAGGUACCAGAAGAAUAAGCACCGGCUAACUCCGUGCCAGCAGCCGCGGUAAUACGGAGGGUGCAAGCGUUAUCCGGAUUUAUUGGGUUUAAAGGGUCCGUAGGCGGACUGAUAAGUCAGUGGUGAAAUCCGACAGCUUAACUGUCGAACUGCCAUUGAUACUGUUAGUCUUGAGUAAGGUUGAAGUGGCUGGAAUAAGUAGUGUAGCGGUGAAAUGCAUAGAUAUUACUUAGAACACCAAUUGCGAAGGCAGGUCACUAAGUCUUAACUGACGCUGAUGGACGAAAGCGUGGGGAGCGAACAGGAUUAGAAACCCGUGUAGUCCCA
rnacentral:rRNA from 1 species